GAUGAAGAACGCAGCGAAAUGCGAUAAGUAAUGUGAAUUGCAGAAUUCAGUGAAUCAUCGAAUCUUUGAACGCACCUUGCGCUCCUUGGUAUUCCGAGGAGCAUGCCUGUUUGAGUGUCAUUAAUUUCUCAACCUCACCAGCUUUUGCUGAGUGUAGGCUUGGAUGUGGGGGUUGCAGGUCCGCUAACGUGGUCUGCUCCUCUGAAAUGUAUUAGUGGGUUGGGCCCCUAAUCUAUUGGUGUGAUAAUUAUCUACGCCGUGGAUUUGGGUGGCUGGAUUAGACCCGCUUCUAACCGUCCUUCACCGGACAACUCUUGACAAUUUUGACCUCAAAUCAGGUAAGACUACCCGCUGAACUUAAGCAUAUCAAUAAGCGGAGGA
rnacentral:misc_RNA from 1 species